GAUGAACGCUAGCUACAGGCUUAACACAUGCAAGUCGAGGGGCAGCAUGGUCUUAGCUUGCUAAGGCCGAUGGCGACCGGCGCACGGGUGAGUAACGCGUAUCCAACCUGCCUUACACUCUUGGACAGCCUUCUGAAAGGGAGAUUAAUACAAGAUGUUAUCAUGAGUAAGCAUUUUCGCAUGAUUAAAGGUUUACCGGUGUAAGAUGGGGAUGCGUUCCAUUAGAUAGUAGGCGGGGUAACGGCCCACCUAGUCUUCGAUGGAUAGGGGUUCUGAGAGGAAGGUCCCCCACAUUGGAACUGAGACACGGUCCAAACUCCUACGGGAGGCAGCAGUGAGGAAUAUUGGUCAAUGGACGAGAGUCUGAACCAGCCAAGUAGCGUGAAGGAUGAAGGUUCUAUGGAUUGUAAACUUCUUUUAUACGGGAAUAAACGAAUCCACGCGUGGAUUUUUGCAUGUACCGUAUGAAUAAGGAUCGGCUAACUCCGUGCCAGCAGCCGCGGUAAUACGGAGGAUCCGAGCGUUAUCCGGAUUUAUUGGGUUUAAAGGGAGCGUAGGUGGACUGUCAAGUCAGUUGUGAAAUCCGCGGGCUCAACCUGCGGCCUGCAGUUGAAACUGGCGGUCUUGAGUCCGUUCAGGGAUGCUGGAAUUCAUGGUGUAGCGGUGAAAUGCUCAGAUAUCAUGAAGAACUCCAAUCGCGAAGGCAGGCAUCCGGGCCGGAACUGACACUGAGGCUAGAAAGUGCGGGUAUCAAACAGG
rnacentral:rRNA from 1 species